rnacentral:rRNA from 1 species
UACAGAGGUCUCAAGCGUUGUUCGGAUUCAUUGGGCGUAAAGGGUGCGUAGGUGGCGGGGUAAGUCAGGUGUGAAAUCUCGAGGCUCAACCUCGAAACUGCACUUGAUACUGCCUGCUAGAGUACUGGAGAGGAGAUUGGAAUUUACGGUGAGCAGUGAAAUGCGUAGAUAUCGUAAGGAAGACCAGUGGCGAAGGCGAAUCUCUGGACAGUUACUGACACUGAGCACGAAGGCCAGGGAGCAACGG